CUUGACCUUUCAUGAUCCUAAUGACCUCCAUUUUUUUUCCUCCUCCAGAAAGAGAUUUUUUCAAUAGCUCCCAUACAUGCUUGCAUUUUCUUGACAAAAACUACCAUGAAAGCAGUGUUUGAAAAGUUCAGUAUGGCCUUCAAUCUCAGGCCUUAUCUUUGAAAUUUUGCACACUGAGUUAAAAUAUUGCUGCAUUUGUGGCCUGGGAUCGUCCCUGCUAAUUCCAUAUGAAGUAAGAGUGCCAAAGAACUCUUAGAACUCCCCUUGUGAAUUUGCUUGGUGAGCGGUUCUGGACUUGGCGUUUUAAUCUCUCCGUCAGGAUCAAUGUGAUCUUGCGUUAAAGCCAAGGUCAAAUGGGAUAAACAGUUGAACUUUCUCCUUUGUUUUGCGUGGCUCAUUGAAACAUGUAACCUUUCUAGGCUUGGUUUCUGCUUUGGAGGGGAAUCUGAAGUCGAAGCAGAUGUUUCUUUCCUUCUUUUGACAACCCCUUUUCAUUUGACUAGGCAUGAUGUCAAAGAAGCAACUGGGGGUAGAUUAGGUAGGAGGUGGAAGAGGAAAUGAGAUUGAUGAUUGGAAGCAAGUGAAGCCUUCAUAUGAGAGAGACUACAUGAGCUGGAAGAAUUUAGAUUGACUUAAGAGUGAGAAAAGAGAAUCCUGAGUGAGAAGUACUUCACUAAUUUAACUGGAUCUUCAUGCACAUGGUGAAGUAAGUUUUUUAGUUUGCAAAAAACCAUAGAUUCCUUCUCUAAGCACAGGUACUUAGAGAAGGUACUAAAGAUAUAGCAACUAUUACAAUGUUAUUAUUUCUUAACCAGGACUUCAGAGGUUUCUGAUACUGCAUCUCUCUCUUUAUUGAGCAUUUUAUACUUUUUGAGUGUUUUUGAUUUGAGCAUAUGAAUGUCUUCUGCUAUCAUCUGAAAUUAUACAUUUUAGCUGCAUUAUGAGCUCCUUGAAGGUGGUUUAAUGUCUUUUGAUCUUGUUCUUUGCAACGUGUAUCACAGUGCUUGGCCCAUGGUGGGUACUUAAUAAAUACUUCUAAAAUGACCUCUUAAACUAAGAAAAAGGAUAAAUAGCGGCUUUCUGUAUGAUGGAGAAUUAUCUCAUCUUACAUUAGUUGACUAUUAGUUGGAUAUUAAUUGGAU
rnacentral:lncRNA from 1 species